AUUGAACGCUGGCGGUAGGCCUAACACAUGCAAGUCGAGCGGAUGAAGGGAGCUUGCUCCUGGAUUCAGCGGCGGACGGGUGAGUAAUGCCUAGGAAUCUGCCUGGUAGUGGGGGAUAACGUCCGGAAACGGGCGCUAAUACCGCAUACGUCCUGAGGGAGAAAGUGGGGGAUCUUCGGACCUCACGCUAUCAGAUGAGCCUAGGUCGGAUUAGCUAGUUGGUGGGGUAAAGGCCUACCAAGGCGACGAUCCGUAACUGGCCUGAGAGGAUGAUCAGUCACACUGGAACUGAGACACGGUCCAGACUCCUACGGGAGGCAGCAGUGGGGAAUAUUGGACAAUGGGCGAAAGCCUGAUCCAGCCAUGCCGCGUGUGUGAAGAAGGUCUUCGGAUUGUAAAGCACUUUAAGUUGGGAGGAAGGGCAGUAAGUUAAUACCUUGCUGUUUUGACGUUACCAACAGAAUAAGCACCGGCUAACUUCGUG
rnacentral:rRNA from 1 species